UGAAAGGCCAAUGACGAGUCCAGCAGAUCCAUCCUCCUUCCCUCCAUCCUCUGUGUGUCCUCCUGUCUGACCUGCAGACUUCCUGGAUUCUUCCCCGUGUCAUUCCUGAGUGGCGAGUGUUGGAGAGAGAGCCUGCUGUCGUGUGUGUGUGGGUUGUUUGGAUAGCGCAUGCCUUCCCCCUGGAUUUCCCUGGAGCCUCGUCCCCACCCUGUUGUACAUAACACUUCCCCUGCACCUUCUGUAUAUACACCCGGUGGACUUGUAAAUAAAACUCUCUUGUGUGCAUCUGAUCCUGGAGUCCUGCGAUUGAGUCCUCCAUGUCAAAACCGUAACAUAGUGUAUAGGCUCAUGUGAUGUGUUGAGGAAUUUUCUUUGUGAGUUUGGUCAAGGUAUAAAAGGAUCAGGGCGGUGGCCCAUCAGGGAAAGAGACCUUCUCUUCCCUCAGCCUGAUUUCUAUGAAUCACUUCCUUUUUCUGUCACCUCUCUUCGUUCGUCUCUCCUCGGCUUUCUGUCCAGAAAUUACUUCUAGUCUGUGUGCAACCUGUUGCCUGCCUUUCGCUUUCUCGCUUAAAUAAAUAAAUAAA